rnacentral:rRNA from 1 species
CCUACGGGCGGCAGCAGUGAGGAAUAUUGGUCAAUGGACGAGAGCCUGAACCAGCCAAGUAGCGUGAAGGAUGACUGCCCUACGGGUUGUAAACUUCUUUUAUAUGGGAAUAAAAUGUUCCACGUGUGCCAUUUUGUAUGUACCAUAUGAAUAAGGAUCGGCUAACUCCGUGCCAGCAGCCGCGGUAAUACGGAGGAUCCGAGCGUUAUCCGGAUUUAUUGGGUUUAAAGGGAGCGUAGGUGGGUUGUUAAGUCAGUUGUGAAAGUUUGCGGCUCAACCGUAAAACUGCAGUUGAAACUGGCAGCCUUGAGUACAGUAGAGGUGUGCGGAAUGCGUGGUGUAGCGGUGAAAUGCUUAGAUAUCACGAAGAACUCCGAUUGCGAAGGCAGCUCACUGGACUGCAACUGACACUGAGGCUCGAAAGUGUGGGUAUCAAACAGGAUUAGAUACCCGGGUAGUC